rnacentral:SRP_RNA from 1 species
UCGUGCUAGGCGGGGAGCCAGCGGUGCCCUGUACCCGCAAUCCGCUCUAGCGGGGCUGAAUCCCCUCCCGAGGUCCGGCAUCGCGGAUCCUGCGUGCGCGCGGCGGCGUUGACGAUCGGGUCCUGUGCAGAAACGGCCCGUGAACCCCGUCAGA